rnacentral:rRNA from 1 species
GUGCCAGCAGCCGCGGUAAUACGUAGGGUGCGAGCGUUAAUCGGAAUUACUGGGCGUAAAGCGUGCGCAGGCGGUUCGUUGUGUCUGCUGUGAAAUCCCCGGGCUCAACCUGGGAAUGGCAGUGGAAACUGGCGAGCUUGAGUGUGGCAGAGGGGGGUGGAAUUCCGCGUGUAGCAGUGAAAUGCGUAGAGAUGCGGAGGAACACCGAUGGCGAAGGCAACCCCCUGGGCUAACACUGACGCUCAGGCACGAAAGCGUGGGGAGCAAACAGGAUUAGAUACCCUGGUAGUCC